rnacentral:rRNA from 1 species
UACGUAGGGGGCAAGCGUUAUCCGGAUUUACUGGGUGUAAAGGGAGCGUAGACGGCUGUGCAAGUCUGAAGUGAAAGCCCGCGGCUCAACCGGGGGACUGCUUUGGAAACUGUAAAGCUGGAGUGCAGGAGGGGUGGGCGGAAUUCCUAGUGUAGCGGUGAAAUGCGUAGAUAUUAGGAGGAACACCGGCGGCGAAGGCGGCCCACUGGACUGUAACUGACGUUGAGGCUCGAAAGCGUGGGGAGCAAACAGG